AUCGAACGCUGGCGGCAGGCCUAACACAUGCAAGUCGAUCGAGUGGAGGACGGGUGAGUAAGGUCUGGGAAACUGCCCGAUGGAGGGGGAUAACUACGGGAAACGGUAGCUAAUAACGCAUACCAUCGGAUGUGCCCAGAUGGGAUUAGCUAGUAGGUGGGGUAACGGCCCACCUAGGCGACGAUCCCUAGCUGGUCUGAGAGGAUGACCGGCCACACUGGAACUGAGACACGGUCCAGACUCCUACGGGAGGCAGCAGUGGGGAAUAUUGCGCAAUGGGCGCAAGCCUGAUGCAGCCAUGCCGCGUGUAUGAAGAAGGCCUUCGGGUUGUAAAGUACUUUCAGCGAGGAGGCGUUACUCGCAGAAAAAGCCCCGGCUAACUCCGUGCCAGCAGUCGCGGUAAUAC
rnacentral:rRNA from 1 species